rnacentral:rRNA from 1 species
ACGGGUGAGUAACGCGUGGGAAUCUACCCAUCUCUACGGAAUAACGCAUGGAAACGUGUGCUAAUACCGUAUACGUCCUUCGGGAGAAAGAUUUAUCGGAGAUGGAUGAGCCCGCGUUGGAUUAGCUAGUUGGUGGGGUAAAGGCCUACCAAGGCGACGAUCCAUAGCUGGUCUGAGAGGAUGAUCAGCCACACUGGGACUGAGACACGGCCCAGAUUCCUACGGGAGGCAGCAGUGGGGAAUAUUGGACAAUGGGCGCAAGCCUGAUCCAGCCAUGCCGCGUGAGUGAUGAAGGCCCUAGGGUUGUAAAGCUCUUUCACCGGUGAAGAUAAUGACGGUAACCGGAGAAGAAGCCCCGGCUAACUUCGUGCCAGCAGCCGCGGUAAUACGAAGGGGGCUAGCGUUGUUCGGAUUUACUGGGCGUAAAGCGCACGUAGGCGGACUAUUAAGUCAGGGGUGAAAUCCCGGGGCUCAACCCCGGAACUGCCUUUGAUACUGGUAGUCUUGAGUUCGAGAGAGGUGAGUGGAAUUCCGAGUGUAGAGGUGAAAUUCGUAGA